UGCUUCCCGAAUAAACCAUGGAAAGUAAUUUCUGCCCGGUGAAUUCUUAAACGGCCGCGGUACCCUGACCGUGCAAAGGUAGCAUAAUAGCUUGCCUUCUAAUUAGAGGCUUGUAUGAAUGAACCAACGUGAGUGCAGCUGUCUCUUUCGUACCCCUAAAAUUUAACCUGCAUGUGAAAAGGCAUGCAUCUUACUAAAAGACAAGAAGACCCUGUCGAGCUUAAUUGAUACCGCCUUUACUUUGGUAAUUUUUUAAUCUUUAUCAAGGCGCACCAAUUUAGUUGGGGCAACAAGGGAACACCUAAAACUUCCUUCCGUAGAUUCUCUUAAGAUCACCCACCCUAUUUCUUAGGCAUAAAAUUAAAGCUACCGCAGGGGUAACAGGUUAAUUUUUCUCGAGAGCACACAUUAACAGAAAAGAUUAACACCUCGAUGUUGGCUUGGGCUAACCCCGCUAGUGCAGCAGCUAGCAACG
rnacentral:rRNA from 1 species